GUGAGGAAUUUUGUUGUUGUUUUUUGUUUUUUUUGUGUGCAAAUACAUUUAUGCUUUUUUAGUUUUUUUAAAGAUAUUUAGCAACUUACUUUUGUCAGUUGUGACAGUUUGUCAGUCAGCAAGUGACUUUUGUAACUUUUAAAUGUAUUUUAUUUAGAAAAAUUAGAAGAUUCUGUUGAGAAUCUAAAAAAAUUAGAACAUUCAAUGGGGCUUAUAUUUCAACAACUUAAAAAUUAAGAAAAUUCAAUUGGUAAGGAAAGUACACUUAUGUUUCUUUUUGUUUAAUUUUAACACACAUUUUUUGAUGUUUGUGUGCGGUUUUAUCACUCUAAAAUAAA